GAUGAAGAACGCAGCGAAAUGCGAUACGUAAUGUGAAUUGCAGAAUUCAGUGAAUCAUCGAGUCUUUGAACGCACAUUGCGCCCGUCAGUAUUCUGGCGGGCAUGCCUGUUCGAGCGUCAUUACGCCCCUCAAGUCCCCUGUGGACUUGGUGUUGGGGAUCGGCGAGGCUGGUUUUCCAGCACAGCCGUCCCUUAAAUUAAUUGGCGGUCUCGCCGUGGCCCUCCUCUGCGCAGUAGUAAAACACUCGCAACAGGAGCCCGGCGCGGUCCACUGCCGUAAAACCCCCCAACUUUUUAUAGUUGACCUCGAAUCAGGUAGGACUACCCGCUGAACUUAAGCAUAUCAAUAAGCGGAGGA
rnacentral:misc_RNA from 1 species